CGGGAACGGUCAAGGACAGGAAGUGAGUCAUCGCAGACUGGGACCUCCACCACAUCUGGCAGAAAUGCACGAAGGAGAGAGAGUGAAAAGUCUCUAGAAAAUGAAACACUCAAUAAGGAGGAAGAUUGCCACUCUCCAACUUCUAAACCUCCCAAACCUGAUCAGCCCCUAAAGGUAAUGCCAGCCCCUCCACCAAAGGAGAAUGCUUGGGUGAAGCGAAGUUCUAACCCUCCUGCUCGAUCUCAGAGCUCAGACACAGAGCAGCAAUCCCCUACAAGGUGAGUCAGUUUGGAAACAGUAGUUGGUUAACUGCAGAUUCUAAAAUACUGUGAUGUAAUGAUGGAAGAUCUCCUACGGGAUGCCAGUGUUGUAUAGCACCU
rnacentral:sRNA from 1 species